CCUUAUCCUUUCUCUGCCAGGGAACAAGUUUGGCCAACUGCAAACAGCCCAUAAGCUGGGUUUGAAGAGAGUGGGUCUGAGGAGAUGGUACCUGGACAGAAAUAAUUAAGGACCUGUGUUCUGUCCGCUGAAUGCUAUCCAAGGCUGUAAGAAAUCCCAGGACCUGGCAGCUCUGCCUUGUAUUAGCACUGGCAGAUAAUUAGGUAAACAGGAAGCCUGCUUUGCAUUGGUAACACCACUGUGAUGUGUCUGUCAGGCAGACACUGAAGAUGACAAGUGAAUGCUGUGGCUUCUCAGUGAAGGGACUGGAGUGAAUACUAGAUGCCUGAUUUGUUGACUUAGUUCCAAGGACCAAAUUCCUGCUACAAAGGAAGUUGGGAAAAAUCAAGAGUGGCUCAUUCCAUUAAUCAGGAGUUCCGGGAAAAGGAAAAUGAAAAGAGAAUACUCAUCAAACUACACAGGCUGAGACUACAACUACACAUUGUCAACACCCAUAGGAGAUGUUCAUUCGAUUAUGGAAAGACACAGAAGGUGUUACCUAGAAUGCAGAGUCCAUCUGUGCAGUUUUCGGAUUCUUGGCUUAGACCUUCACAGAAUUUGCCCCCGUUUCGCGGGGGCGGGGCGGUGCACUCUCGGAUCCUCAAGUGCUCACACUCUGGACUGCAGACCGACCAUUCACUCCAUACUUCCCAGCUCCCAUCCACUUCAAAAGAAAACAAGAGGAACCAUCAUUAGAAUGAACUAGAGAGCUGUCAGGAGAUUCACCCCAGGACUGCUGUUCUUAGAGCUGGAUUUUAAAGAAAUCACCAUCACAACAAAAAUAAAAUCA